CCUACGGGGGGCAGCAGUGGGGAAUAUUGCACAAUGGGGGAAACCCUGAUGCAGCAACGCCGCGUGAGUGAAGAAGUAUUUCGGUAUGUAAAGCUCUAUCAGCAGGGAAGAAGAUGACGGUACCUGUUUAUAAAGCCCCGGCUAACUACGUGCCAGCAGCCGCGGUAAUACGGAGGGGGCAAGCGUUAUCCGGAUUUACUGGGUGUAAAGGGGGCGUAGACGGCAUUGCAAGUCUGGAGUGAAAGCCCGGGGCCCAACCCCGGAACUGCUCUUGAAACUGGGCGGCUAGAGUACUGACGGGGCAGGCGGAAUUCCUAGUGUAGCGGUGAAAUGCGUAGAUAUUAGGAGGAACACCAGUGGCGAAGGCAGCCUGCUGGACAGUAACUGACGUUGAGGCUCGAAAGCGUGGGGAGCAAACAGGAUUAGAUACCCGGGUAGUC
rnacentral:rRNA from 1 species